rnacentral:rRNA from 1 species
CUACGGGCCGCAGCAGUGAGGAAUAUUGCACAAUGGGGGGAACCCUGAUGCAGCAACGCCGCGUGGAGGAUGACGCAUUUCGGUGUGUAAACUCCUUUUAUAUGUCAAGAAAAUGACGGUAGCAUAUGAAUAAGCGCCGGCUAACUCCGUGCCAGCAGCCGCGGUAAUACGGAGGGCGCAAGCGUUACUCGGAAUCACUGGGCGUAAAGGACGCGUAGGCGGGUUGAAAAGUCAGGUGUGAAAGCCUACAGCUUAACUGUAGAACUGCACUUGAAACUCUCAACCUAGAGUAUGGGAGGGGAAGAUGGAAUUAGUGGUGUAGGGGUAAAAUCCGUAGAUAUCACUAGGAAUACCUAAAGCGAAGGCGAUCUGCUGGAACAUUACUGACGCUAAGGCGUGAAAGCGUGGGGAGCAAACAGGAUUAGAUACCCGCGUAGUC